rnacentral:rRNA from 1 species
GGAAUCUUCCACAAUGGACGCAAGUCUGAUGGAGCAACGCCGCGUGAGUGAAGAAGAUCUUCGGAUCGUAAAGCUCUGUUGUUAAAGAAGAACACGUAUGAGAGUAACUGUUCAUACGUUGACGGUAUUUAACCAGAAAGUCACGGCUAACUACGUGCUAG